AUACAUUAACUUCUUUCCCUGAUCUAUCCACUGCCAUCCUUUCUGUCAUCCUAACUGUCAUCCUGGGUGCAUAUUGGCAGGCCCUGAUGCCAGUCUUUGCCUUUAGAAUCAGACAGAAAGUAGUUGGCUUCAAAGGGGUUAUCUAAAGAGCCUUUUUACUUGAAUGUCCAUCUUAGGAGCUGCUUUGGAAUGGGUUUUCACACACAGGAAGACAGGAGAGAGAAUAAAGAAGAAGGAAGUUUCUGCUGUA